AUGAGGGCAGGUCUUUUCCAUGCUGUUCUCAUGAUAGUAAGUCUUACAAAAUCUGAUGGUUACUAUAAGGGAAAGUUUUCCUGCACAAGCUCUCUUUACCUGCUGCCAUCCACAGAAGGUGUGACUUGCUCCUCCUUGCCUUCCGCCAUGAUUGUGAGCCCCCCUCCCCCAGCCAUAUGGAACUGUGCUUCUCUGUACAGUUCAUCCACUGUACAAUCCUCAUUCAUAAACCAAGUUGUCAGCAGCUCUCUCAGGUAAUCUUCCUGAAUAGUGCAAGUUGCUUCUUCAUCAAAGCAAGCAAAAACAUUUCUGAUGACAUCUUCAGGAUCUGUGCCAUUUAACUUCUCACCAAACGUGGUGAGGAAUAUGGCGAAAUUGAUGGGGGCUGGAGCCUCAUUCAUCAUGGAAUCCAGAUACUCAUGAGUUGGCUUCUUCCCCCCUGAGGCAAGCAUAUCAUGCAAAUCUUCCUUGUUAAUGAAACCAUCUCUGUUCUGAUGAAUCAUGUUGAAGGCCUCUUUGAAUUCCUGAAUCCAUGACUGGUCAAACAUAGCAAAUACACUGGAUGUUGUGUGCUGGGGGAGCUUCUUGGUGGUCUUGGUCUUUGCUCUUUUGCUUGACAUAGGAGUAGUUAAAUCCUGGCACAGCUACAAGAAUCUGAACACUCCAGUGAGCCCCUCACUGCCACUAUCACCACCCUGCUGCCCAGAGCUAUGUCCUUGUACUUUAGCCAAGAUGUUUAUGUUAUUACUUUUCUAAGUCCUUUCACAAGCGACUUCUUCUCCCUACCUUAUUUGGACUUCCUCUUUUCCUUUUGUUCUCCAUUGCCUUUACCUAUUCAGAAAAGUUUUAAAUUGUCAGCCAGUUGGGUUUAGUUUUAGAUUGUGAGGUCUGGCUCCAACCAAUGGAAAUCAGACACAGCAUUAAGGACCCAAUAUGUAGGGAAUAAAUAUUCCUGCCUUUCCUUUGUUCAUUGUACUCUCAUGGCAAGAUGGCUGACGAGCAGUACCCUUUCCAUAGAAAGUAAAAUUGCCUUGCUGAAAAACUUUUUGUCUGAAUGCUAAUUUUGCCUUGCAGUACUAGGAACAAGCAUUCUGUCUCUAAAAGCUACUCUUCAGUACACUGCCAGCUACUUAAUCUUUCUUUUCCCUUGUUUAAGUGAAAGCUAAUAUAACAAUAACAAAAUAGUUGUAUUUAUUUUUAAUUAACAUAACAAUAUUGUAUAUAGGUAUUUAUGUAAAAACAAGAUAGUAUAGAAAUCACUAGUGGUAUGUUUUUAAAACUAACAAUUAAAAUGGUGUGUUUAGAGAGGUAUGAAAAUGGAAUUGUUACACUCUAAAAGACAGAGCACACUGUAUAUGAAUGCCUUAGAAGAAGCAACUCAAUAAAAUGAUAUAUUUUAAGGGACUGAAUAACUGAAUGUUCUUCCCAGAAUCUUCUACAAUAGCAAUAUCAGUGCAUUUAUUUGUAGUACAACCAUGUAUUUUGAGUUACAUGCCUUUCGAAAACGUUACUGAACAUACAAUGCAUAGACUACCUAGAAUAAGUAUGAAAGAAAGAAAACUGAAAUGAAUAAAACAGGGAAAAUUCCACAUUUUAUUCCAUGUGAGAUAAAUUUCUUAUAUAGCCAUUAGAAUUGCCUAUGAAAAUCAAGCCACAAUUUGAGUUCAUUUUCCUUAUGAUGUCCUAAUAAUCACCAGGACUUUCACUUUCAUCAUAUAAAGUUUAUUACACAUUUACUUCUGAAUUACUUUGGGCUGGGUAUUACUUAAACCAUGGUGAAUAGAAAUAGUUCAUACCUUUUAGAAGUUUACAGAUUAAAUGGAUAGUGGUAAACACACACAUGUAAAAAUUAUGCACGUAUAAUACAUACUUAGUAGUACAUGUCCAAGCAACAUGAGUGCAUGUAAAACUAUUUCUAGUGUUUUUAGCAUAAUAUGAUGGAAAAAUAGUUUUUAAGUGUGUUUAGUCAUCUGAUUAGCUGAGAUACAAACUCUCCCUGGAAGCCUACAGCUGAGGUUUGAGGGGGAAGAGGGAAAGCCUUCAGCCUAUACAGGUUGGGGAUUGGAACACAGACCCUUACAUAAUACUGGGCCUCCAAAUCGUAAAGAGUUCUUAUCUUUAGAGAUACGUAGAUGAAACUAUAUAAUAUCUGGCAUUUUCUUCAAAAUAUUCUGAGGAUGGAAGGAAUAGGUAGAGAUUACAGAUGCAAAAAGAUUGACUGUGAGUCCAUAAUUAUAGAAGUUGGGUAUGGCUACAUGGAGGCUUAUUAUAUUCUCUCUACUUUUGUACGCUCAAAAUUUUCUAAGAUAAAAAGUUUUGUUUAAUAACUAUUAAAAGAAAAACCAUAAACUGUGUAAUGGAAUUGAAACAACACUGACAAAAGAUGAGAAUCC
rnacentral:lncRNA from 1 species